rnacentral:rRNA from 1 species
AUGCAGUCGAGCGGAGAGGGGAGCUUGCUCCUGGAUUCAGCGGCGGACGGGUGAGUAAUGCCUGAGGAAUCUGCCUGGUAGUGGGGGAUAACGUCCGGAAACGGGCGCUAAUACCGCAUACGUCCUGAGGGAGAAAGUGGGGGAUCUUCGGACCUCACGCUAUCAGAUGAGCCUAGGUCGGAUUAGCUAGUUGGUGGGGUAAAGGCCUACCAAGGCGACGAUCCGUAACUGGUCUGAGAGGAUGAUCAAUCACACUGGAACUGAGACACAGUCCAGACUCCUACGGGAGGCAGCAGUGGGGAAUAUUGGACAAUGGGCGAAAGCCUGAUCCAGCCAUGCCGCGUGUGUGAAGAAGGUCUUCGGAUUGUUAUAAGCACUUUAAGUUGGGAGGAAGGGCAGUGAGUUAAUACCUUGCUGUUUUGACGUUACCUACAGAAUAAGCACCGGCUAACUUCGUGCCAGCAGCCGCGGUAAUACGAAGGGUGCAAGCGUUAAUCGGAAUUACUGGGCGUAAAGCGCGCGUAGGUGGUUCAGCAAGUUGGAUGUGAAAUCCCCGGGCUCAACCUGGUAACUGCAUCCAUAAACUACUGAGCUAGAGUACGGUAGAGGGUGGUGGAAAUUUCCUGUGUAGCGGUGAAAUGCGUAGAUAUACGUAAGGGAACACCGAGUGGCGAAGGCGACCACCUGGACUGAUACUGACAACUGAUGUGCGAAAGCGUGGGGAGCAAACAGAAUUA